ACGAGCGGCGGACGGGUGAGUAAUGUCUGGGGAUCUGCCUGAUGGAGGGGGAUAACUACUGGAAACGGUAGCUAAUACCGCAUAACGUCGCAAGACCAAAGAGGGGGACCUUCGGGCCUCUUGCCAUCAGAUGAACCCAGAUGGGAUUAGCUAGUAGGUGGGGUAAUGGCUCACCUAGGCGACGAUCCCUAGCUGGUCUGAGAGGAUGACCANCCACACUGGAACUGAGACACGGUCCAGACUCCUACGGGAGGCAGCAGUGGGGAAUAUUGCACAAUGGGCGCAAGCCUGAUGCAGCCAUGCCGCGUGUAUGAAGAAGGCCUUCGGGUUGUAAAGUACUUUCAGCGAGGAGGAAGGCAUUAAGGUUAAUAACCUUAGUGAUUGACGUUACUCGCAGAAGAAGCACGGCUAACUCCGUGCCAGCAGCCGCGGUAAUUACGGAGGGUGCAAAGCGUUAAUCCGGAAUUACUGGGCGUAAAGCG
rnacentral:rRNA from 1 species